UUUUUUUUUUUUUUUUUUUUUCUACCUUGUUAGGUAGAUGAAGAAUAACUAAAAAGAUCAGACCAAAUGAAGAUACAGUCUCAGAUACAUACUGCAUAUGAAUGUGAUCAGGGCAAAUCUAGCACAAUCGUUCUAUCAUGUAUAAAUUUAUCUUGUUAUGCUUCUCUCUUUGAUAAAGAAGGUUUUUGUACAUCUAAGAUUUGGCAGUUGGUGUGGCAAUUCAUUUUAAUUUAGCUGUCAUGUUUGGGCUGAGUUCCAUUUCUUAUUAGCCUUAAUUAUAUGUUGGUUGGUUAUUUUUAUUCAUUUUUUUAAUAAUCGCCAAACACAUUGAUUUAUUUAAAACUCUUUUUAUAUAUAUGGUACAUUGGAAAGUAUUUAUUGGCAAUGAUUUAAGCUCAUACAUAUAUAUACAUGGCUUUGAUGAGUGGUUCUUUUCCUUCAAUGUGGUUGGCUGGGUUCCUCUUCCUGUAGGAAGGCGAAGGUAAAUACUGGCGACAGUGUUAUUCCAAGAGUGUCCAAAGCUGCCUCAGUGGGCCUUGUGCACCAAUAGAGGGGGCUAUGGCUAGGCGGAUUUGCUUGUAAUUUGGCAGCUUGCGAUGUAUACAGGUUGAGUUUUGGAGGUUGCUACGUGGUUUGGAUCUUGUAUUAGAUUUUAAUUUCUUGUCAUUGUAAUUAGGCCAGAUCAGGAGCUUCAGUUUGCCAAUGAAGUUCAGAAACCACAGAGGCUUUGUGCUUGUGGAUUAUGUUACAAAAGCAAGAGGCACGUAAUGCAGUUCAAGCACUUUCAAGCGCCCAUCUGUAUGGUCGACAUUAGGCUCUGGACAGAGCAAAGGAGGGCCCGAAACAGCUGCUCAAUUUAUUGAAGAGCAAAAUGGGUUGCAUAAUCCAACUAAGUUACCAAAGACAAGGAAGCACAUGGCUGUAUUUGGAUGAAGGAACGAUGAAAUUUCAAAAUAUUGAUUCUUAGAAAAAAAAUGACAUAAAGCUCUUCUUAAUUUGUUUCAGUAGCAUUUUCAAGCUUCUUCUUAAUUUGAUUUUUUUUCUUUAAAUUCCUCCUCCUUUUCAAUGUUGUGCCUUCAUGAUCAGAGCCAUGCCUUGCUGUAUAUUAAG
rnacentral:misc_RNA from 1 species